UGCAGUCGAACGGACCGCUUUCGGGUGGUUAGUGGCGAACGGGUGAGUAACACGUGGGUAACCUGCCCCUCACUCUGGGAUAACUCCGGGAAACCGGGGCUAAUACCGGAUAUGACCAUUCCCUGCAUGGGGUGUGGUGGAAAGUUUUGUCGGUGAGGGAUGGGCCCGCGGCCUAUCAGCUUGUUGGUGGGGUGAUGGCCUACCAAGGCGUCGACGGGUAGCCGGCCUGAGAGGGCGACCGGCCACACUGGGACUGAGACACGGCCCAGACUCCUACGGGAGGCAGCAGUGGGGAAUAUUGCGCAAUGGGCGGAAGCCUGACGCAGCGACGCCGCGUGAGGGAUGACGGCCUUCGGGUUGUAAACCUCUUUCAGCACAGACCAAGGCCUCGUAUUGGCGGGGUUGAGUGUAUGUGCAGAAGAAGCACCGGCUAACUACGUGCCAGCAGCCGCGGUAAUACGUAGGGUGCGAGCGUUGUCCGGAUUUAUUGGGCGUAAAGGGCUCGUAGGCGGUUUGUCGCGUCGGGUGUGAAAUCCUACUGCUUAACGGUGGGCUUGCAUUCGGUACGGGCAGACUGGAGUGUGGCAGGGGAGACUGGAAUUCCUGGUGUAGCGGUGGAAUGCGCAGAUAUCAGGAGGAACACCGGUGGCGAAGGCGGGUCUCUGGGCCAUUACUGACGCUGAGGAGCGAAAGCGUGGGGAGCGAACAGGAUUAGAUACCCUGGUAGUCCACGCUGUAAACGUUGGGCGCUAGGUGUGGGGACUGUUUCCACGGUUUCCGUGCCGUAGCUAACGCAUUAAGCGCCCCGCCUGGGGAGUACGGCCGC
rnacentral:rRNA from 1 species